AAAACAAUAGAAAUUGUUGGCUGUUGGCUGACAUGGUUGCCAAGCAUUACAACUCUGGCUACUGCUUUGUCAGUGAAGAGAUGGUAGUCUUUUGGGAACCAGUAGGGUAGAAAAGUGACAAAGUUGACCCAACCAACUGAAAGGAUGGUGAAAUGGGAACAUUAGAGCGGCAUGUUUCAAGGUAAGGAAAAGAGAUUGACUUUUGUUUAUACAGUUGGAAGAAUCUAUCAGGAAGUAAGCUUGUGCAGUAAUGGGCUCUCAAUGAAAUAAUUCCAGUCAGACCAGAAAUCUUUCUGGAUUCCAGUUUCACAAAAUCCUCCCAACAGAAUUAUUCAACCUGGUGUCAAAGAAAGGUCUACCUAUUCCAGCAACCCAAGGGCAAGUCUCUGCUAGCUCAGGAAGAAAAGAGGUGGGAGGCUGAAGAAGCCACAGAAACUGAUCCUGCCCAGAACCAAAAUACAGAAGAGGGUUCC
rnacentral:lncRNA from 1 species